rnacentral:misc_RNA from 1 species
UGUCCGCAAUUGAAUCUUCUCUAUAUUAUACGUUCUCUGAACAUUGUUUGACAGCUACUCAUUGUUCUCUGUUCAGUUAAUUUCAUGUGACAAACCGGUAUUGNGUUCCCUGUGAAAUUGUGAAAAAAAUUAAAACAAAAAUUAUUUAUUCGUUUUCUAACAUUUCAAAUGGGAAACACACAUCAAACACGUGUACUGUGAAAAUUUUUAUUCAAUUUCAACAGCAGGCAUUUGGUGGUAAGUUGAACUGUGUAAAUUAUGUGGAUCGUGCAUUUUAGGUUAAAUUCACCACUCUGUCCAUAGUCCAAGAUGCNUAGAGGACGACGUACGAACACCGGCCGCCGCGAAAGAAGAACGCCGCUCAAAAGAAAAACGGUUGAACUGUGGUGCGCAAGNGGAAAAGACAAACUGGAUCCAUUACUUACACCACCACAGCCACUGAAACCAUUGUUCGAUGGAAGUGAUCCGAUUCCAGCCAUUUUCUUCAACACAUCCUUGAAUACAAUAACUGCUUUCGCAUGACUUCCUUUGGAGCUAAUAUCAUUCGAAAAGGCUACUUCGUGUCGACUUGCAAGAUAUAAGGACACAUAUAUCAUUUCCAUGGUUCCAUGGUGCCAACACCGGAUGAACCGCAUCAAUUUUUACAAAUAUACUUCAUUUCGUCGAUGGUGGAUCAGCUGAAUGUGCGAUGUGAUAUACAGGGAACACAACAGUUAAAGAGACGAAUUAUUGAACAGUUGCAANCAUUUUGUCAUGCUAAUAAUGCUGUCGUUAAUAUGUUCAAAACAACAUUGGAACGAAUGCCAUCGGUUACGCGCAAAUUUGUCAUAAGAGCGGAUUGUACUCCAACAAGUGAACAUGUGCGAAGAUUCAAUGCACCCACCGUUAAUGAUGUUGCUGCAAUUAUUGUUGGCGAUCCAACUAAAUCGNGAGACAUUGUCGUUCAGCGAAGAAGCAAUAUCAUGCAUCGUGUAAACGAGACACAUCGUUUGUUUUAUCCAAUUAUUUAUUAGCAAGAGCAAGACGGAUACGACAUCACGUUGAAGAUGGUCGAUCCAAUUACAGGCGUAUCAACGAAUAAAAAUUUAAGUGCAAUGAAUUACUAUGCGUAUCGUUUGAUGAUUCUUGCAAAUGAGUGGAAUGUCAUUCUGAAGUGCCGUCGGCUAUUCCAGCAAUUCGCUGUCGACAUGUAUGUCAAAGUCGAGACCGAACGCUUAGCGUUCAUCCGAUUCAAUCAGGCAAAUCUACGAUCUGAGGACUAUAUACACUUGCGUGAUGCUAUUCAUUCAGAUGGUGAUGUUCAGAGUAUUGGACGUCUGACGAUUCGCCCAUUAUCUUAUAUUAUUGAACGUGAGUUGGAACUGAGCAAAAAACCGAAAGAUCGCCAUGACAUAAUCGCCUGAGUAUUUCAGCAUAAACUCAAGGCUAUGAUGGAUGUGUUUACUAA